rnacentral:rRNA from 1 species
AUUGAACGCUGGCGGCAUGCUUUACACAUGCAAGUCGAACGGUAACAGGCCGCAAGGUGCUGACGAGUGGCGGACGGGGGCGGAAUGCAACGGAACGUGCCCAGUCGUGGGGGAUAACUACUCGAAAGAGGAGCUAAUACCGCAUACGAUCUAUGGAUGAAAGCGGGGGGGCGCAAGGCCUCGAGCGGUUGGAGCGGCCGAUGUCAGAUUAGGUAGUUGGUGGGGUAAAGGCUCACCAAGCCAACGAUCUGUAGCCGGCCUGAGAGGACGACCAGCCACACUGGGACUGAGACACGGCCCAGACUCCUACGGGAGGCAGCAGUGGGGAAUUUUGGACAAUGGGCGCAAGCCUGAUCCAGCAAUGCCGCGUGCAGGAAGAAGGCCUUCGGGUUGUAAACUGCUUUUGUACGGAACGAAACGGCUCUGGUUAAUACCCGGGGCUAAUGACGGUACCGUAAGAAUAAGCACCGGCUAACUACGUG